GCAGUGGUAGUUCCGUGGUAGAAUUCUUGCCUUCCCUGCAGGAGACCUGGGUUCAAUUCCUGACCAGUGCG
rnacentral:tRNA from 1 species